GGAAUUAGAAUCUUCGAAAAGAUGAUGAUCAGCAAUGGAGCUGGAUAGUGAAUGGCUAAAGGCUCAAAUACUAUGUGGGAGGAGAGGUGGAGAAAUUCACCUCAAUCAUGAUGUUGGUGGACCCAUGAGGUUUGGGUUAGGCUCGUGACAUUAAACAAGCGCUACUAGGAGGCAACCUAGUUUUCUCUCUUUCACUUUUGUUUUUUUUUCUUAAUUUCUAGAAGGUUUAAUACCUAUUUUGGUCCCUCUUUUGGGAGGGUUUGUUCAAAGUGGUCCCUCUUUUUUUCAAAAGUUCACUUAAGUCCUACCUUUUGCAAAAACUGUUCAAAGUGGUCCUUUUUGCUAACGGCGUUAAGUUCCCUAACGAUAGAGCUGCCAGGUGUGUAACAUCUGAUUAUGUGGCAUUGUUAAUUGUUUUACAAAAUCUAUAUAAUUGUGACGUGUAAAUUAUAUUAAUUAGGGUAAAAUAAAGAAAGGAAUUAGGGUAUUGUGGAGGAAGGAGCCCACAGGGACAUUGAGUCCGAGGAUGUUUCUCCAGCGGGACAUUAGGGUGAGGGAGACGAAGGGAGCGCGCUUGCGUGUGGGCAUGAGGUGGUGGAUUUCGAGGACAAGGUAGAGUUUGUUGAGGUGAGUCAUAAGUUUGUCAAAGUGGGGGUCUCGUACUCUGUCCUCCAAACGGGUUUGGGCGGAAACGAUGGGUUUCUUCCAUCGGCGUUGGAUGAAGAGGGUAAAGGGUGAGAGGAACCUGUGUCUAGGACUAUGCAAGAAAUUCAUUGCUUGAACUCAGGUUUUGGUUCUGAUAGAACCAAUUACAGUAUUUUUGUACAGUUGAAAGAAAAAUCAUUGUUAUUCCUAAAGAGGAUCUUAGAACUCUUUCUUGAUAGAAUCACGGGGAGGCAACACCUUUCUGGUUUUUAUGUAUUGUAACCUUCUGCGUCUUGUUAGGCUUUUCCUCUGAUAUACAGAAAUAAAACCUCGUUCCUCUGUUUCCUUUCUAUCAGUGGCGUUUUCAUCUUCUCACCCUAAUUACCCCUAAUUCUUUUCUUUAUUUUACCCUAAUUAAUAUAAUUUACACGUCACAAUUAUAUAGAUUUUUUAAAACAAUUAACAAUGCCACAUAAUCAGAUAUUACACACCUGGCAGCUCUGCUGUUAAGGAACUUAACGCCGUUAGCAAAAAGGACCA
rnacentral:lncRNA from 1 species